rnacentral:antisense_RNA from 1 species
AGAUUCGACACAAAACCCGGAAGGACCCAGCCGAAGGUUUUCUCCGGUUCGGGCAAGAGACGGGGUCCCGCUCUGUCACCCAGGCUGCCAGACUGGCGUACAGUGGUGCAAUCUCAGCUCACUGCAACCUGCACCUCCUGGGUUCAAGUGAUUUUCUUGUCUCUGCCUCCUGAGUAGCUGGGAUUACUGGCACACACCACCAUGCACUGUUGCGGGAAUUUAGCCAAUUCAGAGGUCUUGUUCUCCAUAAUCUGGAACUUUCCUUCAGAUUUGAUCAAGUUGGAUAAAGUUGGUCAAACCCAAUGGGAAAAAGAUGAAAACAACAAGAAACAGAAACAAACAACAACAACAACAACAAAACAAGCAGAGACUGCGGUGUGAAGAUGGAGGCAGAGAUUAGAGAGAUGCUGCUACAUGCCACAAAUGCCUGGGGCUCCCAGAAACUACACGGAGCCUCCCCCAGCGGCUUCAGCAGGAGCAUGGCUCAGCCAACACUUUGAUCUUGGCCUUCCAGCCUCCAGAACGUUUUCCUAAAAUUCCCUUUUCCACUUGUGUGUGGUGCAAGAUGAGGCACAUU